GGCUCCAUGACCCCGAGCGCCUGGGGUAUAGAAACCUGGCCAGGGUGGGAGAGGCCUUUGGCGAGCUGUUUACAGAGGAGCAGAAAAGAUCUUUCCUCGAGGCGGGGCUGCUGGCCAUUCACCACCCCCUCCUCCGCGUCAGCCAGGCUGGCCUGGUGCUGACGUAUUCCAUCCUGGGGGAAGCUGGCCAGCUGCUAGAGGACGAGGAGGACAUCGCAGCCUACAUAAAGAUCCAGCUGUUUAACAUCAGGGUCUUGGGCCAGGUGCCUGACGCCCUGCAGGGGCUGUGCUCCGUGGGGCAGCACUGAAGGACCCCCCCCCUCGCAUGACCAGCUCGG